GGUGAACGCUGGCGGUGCGUCUAAUACAUGCAAGUCGAGCGCGGCUUCGAGCCGAGCGGCAGACGGCUGAGUGACACGUUGGUAACUACCUCAAACUCAAGGAUAACGCCGAGAAAUCGGUGCUAAUACCGGAUGGUCCCGUAAGGGUAAAGUUUUUACGGUUUGAGAGGUGCCUGCGUCCUAUCAGGUAGUUGGUGAGGUAACGGCUCACCAAGCCUAUGACGGGUAACUGGUCUGAGAGGAUGACCAGUCAGAGGGAAACUGAGACACGGGUCCCACUUCUACGGAAGGCAGCAGUAAAGUAACUGCAACAAUGGACGAAAGUCAGAUGGAGCGACGGCGCGUGCAGGAUGGAUGCCCGUGGGGCGUAAACUGCUUUUUUGGGGGAAAAAUUCUGACUGUACCUUAAGAAUAAGCACCGGCAAAUCACGUG
rnacentral:rRNA from 1 species